rnacentral:rRNA from 1 species
GGGCGAAAACCUGACGAAGCAACACCGCGUGAACGAUGACGGCCUUCGGAUUGUAAAGAUCUUUUCUGAGGGAAGAAUUCUGACGGUACCUCAGGAAUAAGCGCCGGCUAACUCCGUGCCAGCAGCCGCGGUAAUACGGAAGGCGCAAACGUUAUCCGGAAUGAUUGGGCGUAAAGCGUCCGCAGGCGGUGAUUUAAGUCGGAUGUUAAAUCUUGUGGCUCAACUUUCGAUGUUGUGUCCGAACUGUGUUUGCUAGAGACAUGCUAGAGGCUAGUGGAAUUCUGUGAU